AGCUUUGUAUACGUCAAAAGGUGAUACCUUUGAUUCUUAAUUUCGAUUGGCAUUGUGGUUUCUUUUGUUUGGUUCUUUACAGUGCGCGUGUGUGUGCGUUUUUUUUACAGGUUUCCUCGCCUCUGUUGACUCUUACAUGAACUUGCAGCUUGGAAACACUGAAGAAUACAUCGAAGGACAGUUGAUAGGGAACCUUCGAGAGAUUUUGAUCAGGUACAUGCAUCUGCGGAUUUACAGUCUGAUAUAACAUUGUUGAUUAUUUC